GUGUUUUCAUGGUACAACGGUUA
rnacentral:miRNA from 1 species